AUACUAACCUGGCAGGGAGAUACCAUGAUCACGAGGGCGGUUCACCCAGGGCGAGGCUCAGCCCUUGCACUCAGGCUGUGUUAACCCUUACGAAUCUCUACUGCAUCAUUUCUGCAAUUAUGAAAUUAUGCAGUGUGGGGGACUGUGUUUGCGCUCUCCCCUG